UACGAAGGGUGCAAGCGUUAAUCGGAAUUACUGGGCGUAAAGGGUGCGUAGGCGGUUUGGUCAGUCGGAUGUGAAAGCCCUGGGCUCAACCUGGGAACGGCAUCGGAUACGGCUAAGCUUAGAGUCUAGGAGAGGGUGGUGGAAUUCCCGGUGUAGCGGUGAAAUGCGUAGAGAUCGGGAGGAACAUUCGUGGCGAAGGCGGCCACCUGGCCUAAGACUGACGCUGAGGCACGAAAGCGUGGGGAGCAAACAGG
rnacentral:rRNA from 1 species